rnacentral:piRNA from 1 species
UGCUCCUCAAUGCUGGGACUAUAAAUUAGCAU